CCUACGGGUGGCAGCAGUGAGGAAUAUUGGUCAAUGGGCGAGAGCCUGAACCAGCCAAGUCGCGUGAAGGAUGACGGCCCUACGGGUUGUAAACUUCUUUUGUCAGGGAGCAAUUGGGUCCACGCGUGGGCUUAGCUAGAGUACCUGAAGAAAAAGCAUCGGCUAACUCCGUGCCAGCAGCCGCGGUAAUACGGAGGAUGCGAGCGUUAUCCGGUUUUAUUGGGUUUAAAGGGUGCGUAGGCGGAAGAUCAAGUCAGCGGUAAAGAUUCGGGGCUCAACCCCGUCGUGCCGUUGAAACUGACGGUCUUGAGUAGGGGAGAAGUAGGCGGAAUGCGUGGUGUAGCGGUGAAAUGCUUAGAUAUCACGAAGAACUCCGAUUGCGAAGGCAGUAUACCGGAGUGCAACUGACGCUGAAGCUCGAAAGCGUGGGUAUCGAACAGGAUUAGAUACCCUGGUAGUC
rnacentral:rRNA from 1 species